ACUAGAUGCCGUUGUAGCGUAUUUUGUAAAAACCAAGAUAUAACAAAUCAAAUUUGCGUUAGAAUUAAAUAGUUUAUCGUGGAUUAAGAUAUUUAAUUAUCGGAUUAUUAGCUUAUGUACCAAUUUUCGUAAUAUAUAUAAGGUAAUGAAAAUACUGUUUCACCAUUCCACGACGAAAACAUGUCCUUCAAAGCUGGGUUCUUAUUAAUUGCUCUUCUUGCAGGGAGCUAUGAAGCACCGGACCGGGCAUGCCUGAUCUGGACCGGGUAAGGUAUGUAACGCAGAAGAUUUUUCUGGACCUGAUCAGGAUGAGAUGAGCUUUCCUGAUCGGGUCCAGAUCAGGAAAUCUCAUCUCAUCGUGAUACAAUGAGCGUAACUGGACAAGGAGCCUAACGCCACACUGAGCGAAACGCUACAAUGAGUCACCCUUUUUCGUGUAUGCAACCGGCGUUCAUCGAUUUAUUCGACAUUGUCAAACGUCAAAAAAUGUUUUUGGGAAAAUCAAUUUUUGAACCCAGUGUACCCCAAUGAAAACACGUGACUUGACACGUGACACGACUAUGUUAAUUUUAACUCAUCGUAGCACACAACUAAUACAGUGUUCUUACAUUUAAUCGAUUAAAUCUUGUGCUUAUCGUCAAUAUAUUGAUAAUUUUAUACAUAUAUAGAAAAAGAACUGUGUGGCUUUAUGAAAUCACGAUCCAAGUGAAACUUUAGUGAAUAAAAACAUUUCCAUUUGCAUACACAUUUAUAACAUUUGCGACAUGCGACAUGCGAUAGAUGAACGAAACAAUUUUGGGGCAUUAUAUACUACAAAAACGAUUCCCCAAAAAAUAUUUUUAAAUUUUCAACAAGAUGUUAAACGUCAAAA
rnacentral:misc_RNA from 1 species